rnacentral:tRNA from 1 species
ACGCCAGUAGCUCAACUAGGUAGAGCAGCGGAUUCCAAAUCCGCAGGUUAGGGGUUCGAUUCCUCUCUGGCGUG